rnacentral:lncRNA from 1 species
GCAGCGGCGGCGGUGAUGGCUCCUCCGGGCUGCCCGGGUUCGUGCCCCAACUUCGCCGUAGUCUGCUCCUUCUUGGAGCGCUACGGGCCGCUGCUAGACCUGCCUGAGUUGCCGUUCCCUGAGCUGGAGCGGGUGCUGCAGGCGCCGCCGCCGGACGUCGGCAACGGAGAAGUCGGUCAGGAAGCCGUGCAGCAGCUAUGGCUUUGAAGGUUACCGGAAAAACACGCGUGGAGCUGGAGGUGGCAGUUCACCGAAAUUGAAUCACUCUAACGAGCCGCAACAUAAAAUCCCUGGAAAAGGUGUGUGCUGACUUCAUCAGAGGAGCAGAGGCAAAGAAUCUCCAAGUGAAAGGACCAGUUCGAAUACCUACCAAGACUUUGAGAAUCACUACAGAAAAAGUCCUUGUGGUGAAGGUUCUAAGACGUGGGAUCCUUUCCAGAUGAGAAUCCACAAGCGACUCAUUGACUUGCACAGUCCUUCUGAGAUUGUUAAGCAGAUUGCUUCCAUCAGUUUGAGCCGG